rnacentral:rRNA from 1 species
UACGAAGGGGGCUAGCGUUGCUCGGAAUCACUGGGCGUAAAGGGUGCGUAGGCGGGUCUUUAAGUCAGGGGUGAAAUCCUGGAGCUCAACUCCAGAACUGCCUUUGAUACUGAGGAUCUUGAGUUCGGGAGAGGUGAGUGGAACUGCGAGUGUAGAGGUGAAAUUCGUAGAUAUUCGCAAGAACACCAGUGGCGAAGGCGGCUCACUGGCCCGGAACUGACGCUGAGGCGCGAAAGCGUGGGGAGCAAACAGG